rnacentral:rRNA from 1 species
UCCUACGGGAGGCAGCAGUAGGGAAUUUUCGUCAAUGGGCGCAAGCCUGAACGAGCAAUGCCGCGUGAACGAGGAAGGUCUUCGGAUCGUAAAGUUCUGUUGCAGGGGAAAAAGAGCGGAGAGAGGAAAUGAACUCCGAUUGAUAUUACCCUUCGAGGAAGUCACGGCUAACUACGUGCCAGCAGCCGCGGUAAUACGUAGGUGGCGAGCGUUAUCCGGAAUGAUUGGGCGUAAAGGGUGCGUAGGCGGCCUGGCAAGCCUGAUGUGAAAUACCGGGGCCCAACCCCGGGGCUGCAUUGGGAACU